rnacentral:rRNA from 1 species
AGGGAAUAUUGGUAAUGUGCGAAAGCGCGAACCAGCAACGCCGCGUGCACGAUGAAGGCCUUCGGGUUGUAAAGUGCUUUUAGAGAGGAUGAGGAAGGACAGUACUUUCUGAAUAAGCCUCGGCUAACUACGUGCCAGCAGCCGCGGUAAAACGUAGGAGGCUAGCGUUAUCCGGAUUUACUGGGCGUAAAGCGCGUGCAGGUGGUUUCGUAAGUUGGAUGUGAAAGCUCCUGGCUUAACUGGGAGAGGUCGUUCAAAACUGCGAGGCUUGAGAGUGGUAGAGGGAGGUGGAAUUCCGGGUGUAGUGGUGAAAUGCGUAGAUAUCCGGAGGAACACCAGUGGCGAAAGCGGCCUCCUGGACCAUUUCUGACACUCAGACGCGAAAGCUAAGGUAGCAAACG